UUCAAGUACAAAUAUAAGCACUAAUGAAUUAUUGUAAGAAUAACAGGGUAAGCCAAUCAGAGGCACAGUAGGGCGGGUCAUGCCAUCACCGACCUAGGAAAAGAAACAUGGCCUGGGGGCAGGAGUGCCGGCAGUCUGUCGGGGUUCUGGAGGAGGCCACUGCAUAGAGGACUGCGCCCCCUGCAGGUGUGGAGAGUGACUGUCUCGAGUCCAUACAUUCCGAUGCUUACGUACAUUUCUUUGCUUAUUGUUGAUUCAGUUAAAAAUCACCCUGCUUCAUUUGAUUCUCUGACACUUUUUUCCCAUCUCCCGUGUCGAGAGCUACUGCUUGUUGUCUGUCGACGGCCCUGCUUCCUCAGCAUACACAGAGAAAAAAACGAUAUCCGAUUUUUUCUGAAUGGAUAUGAAACACUGA